AUACAUAAAGCGCUUAUUUGGCUGGCUUAAGUCAUCGGCUGGCUUCUUCGGAAAUGAACAAAGGAGCCUAGGGCCAAAAUCGAACUAGGUCAACCUAAAACUCCUUUGUUCAUCUACGAAGAAGCCAGCCGAUGACUUAAGCCAGCCAAAUAUGCGCUUUAUGUAUUUCCACUUUAAGUACAUAAGAAGCUUGAAGUCAUGGUAGAAAUACCAGGUAGCAACAUAGGCGAAAAUUACAACAAAGCAACUUUUGUUCGAACUUGAUAUGUCAAAAUUGUAAGCUAGGCGAAUUUACUUGACAUAUAAAAUUUGAGGCAAAUUGUUCUGCACCAAUCAGAACAUUUAAUUUUGAAACAUUGAAAAUUUUGGUUUAUUUUUCAAUUUCUAUUAAAUUUUGCAGGGAAAUGUUGUGUUGCUGUGACUCGUACAGUUUAGGCCGGCCCUCGAUAUAAGAGAACUCGAUAAAAGCAAAUGGUAUAUAAAAAUUGGGGUGAAUACCGCGUGGAAUGAUAACGUCAGUUGGAACAAAUUCAAAAAGAAUUCGGAGAACUCAAUAUAAGGCAAGAAAUCAUCAACCCAUCAAAAAUAAAUUUACAAAAGUUUCAGCCCCAAAUAGCGGAUAUUUUCAAGACCCAACUCGAGAAAUUUGAAAGAAUCUAGAGUUCUUCACAAUAUCAUAGCCUGGAUUUUUAAAUAUUUGCAGUUCUUAAAUUGUGGAUUUUGAAAUAGUUUCAGGGAUUUAAAGAAAAUGCCCGAGCCCCAAAUCAUGAAUCUUAAAAAAAAUCUUCCGGCGUUAAAUCGUAGAUUAUAAAGAAUAUUUCCGAGUCCGACAUUGUUGAAUUUUAAAGAACUAUUUCAUGAGAGUAAACAUUAAUUUCUCAAAAUUAUUGUUUUUCAAAUGAAUCGAAUUGUUUAUUUAAUGUCUUUAAGAAUUCAAGUCGGAGGAAUUUUAUGAUAUAAAAAAACACUGACCGUCCAUAUGUCUUUAAUUUAAGAUUAGUUAAAUAAACAAUCUGAACAUUGGCAUCAUAAAAAUGCAGAAUAUUA